rnacentral:rRNA from 1 species
GACGAACGCUGGCGGCGUGCUUAACACAUGCAAGUCGAACGGAAAGGCCCUGCUUUUGUGGGGUGCUCGAGUGGCGAACGGGUGAGUAACACGUGAGUAACCUGCCCUUGACUUUGGGAUAACUUCAGGAAACUGGGGCUAAUACCGGAUAGGAGCUCCUGCUGCAUGGUGGGGGUUGGAAAGUUUCGGCGGUUGGGGAUGGACUCGCGGCUUAUCAGCUUGUUGGUGGGGUAGUGGCUUACCAAGGCUUUGACGGGUAGCCGGCCUGGGAGGGUGACCGGCCACCUUGGGACUGAGAUACGGCCCAGACUCCUACGGGAGGCAGCAGUGGGGAGUAUUGCACAAUGGGCGGAAGCCUGAUGCAGCAACGCCGCGUGCGGGAUGACGGCCUUCGGGUUGUAAACCGCUUUCGCCUGUGACGAAGCGUGAGUGACGGUAAUGGGUAAAGAAGCACCGGCUAACUACGUG